rnacentral:lncRNA from 1 species
CAGACCAGUAUUCUUUAUUAAUAUAGGCACAAAUUUGCUCAACAAAAAGUUAGCGAUCAAAGCCAGCAAUAUAGACUGCAUCACAAGCAAAUUGGUUUUUAUCUGAGCAAUGCAACAGUGGUUUAAUAUAUGGAAACUAAUUAAUAUACCAUAGUAAUAAACUAAAAAUAAAAAUAUAUGAUCAUAUCAAUUAAUGUAGAAAAAACAUUUGGCAAAAUUUAAUGUCUAUUCAUGAUGGAAACACCUAGCAAUCUAGGAAUAGAAAUGACUUUUCUUACAUUAAGAGAAGACCUAAAAAAAAAAAAAAAAAAAAAGAGAGAAGACCUAUCACUCAUGGUAAAAGACUGAAUGCUUCCUGUCCCAGAUCAGGAGCAAUACAAUGAUGUCCACUUUCAUCACUCCUAUUCAAUGUCAUACUGGAAGUCAUAUCCAGUGAAAUAAGAAAAAGGAAAAAAAAAGGCAUCAAAAUGGAAAUGAAGAAUUAAAACUGUCUCUAUAGAGAUGAUUAGAACAUUCCAAGCAGUCUAACAAAAAACUCCUAAAACUAAUAAGUGACUUUAUCAAGACUGAAUACAAGGUCAGCCUAUAAACAUCAACCUUAUUUCUAUACUCUAGCAAAUGAAAACUACAAUUGAUAAUUCUCCCAAACAAAACACUGAUGCCUAUAUUUAAAAAUACAAGUGUAGGGGGAGGGCAGGGUGGCUCAGUAGGUUGAGUGUCUGACUUCAGCUCAGGUCAUGAUGUAGGAUCCUGGGAUCCAGCCCUGCAAUAGGCUCUGGGCUCAGUGGGGAGUCUGCCUGGGAUUCUCUCUCUCUCUCUCUUCCUCAGCCCAUCCCUGCACUUGUAUGCUUGCAGCACUCUCUCUCAAGUAAAUAUAUUAAAAAAAAAAAAAAAGUGCAGAAUCCAUAUGCUGAAAACUAUAAAACUGAAGAAAGAAAUUUAAAAAGCCAAGAUUAAUUCAUGUUGAUAGACUGGAAGACAAAAUAUAGUUUAUGAGUAAGUUACCUUCAUGUUGAUGUAUAGAGUCAAUGUAAUUUAAUCAAAAUUCCAGCAGUAUUUUUGUAUAAUAAACAACCUGACUCUUUAAGAUUUUAUUUAUUCUUGAGAGACGAGAGAAAGAGAGAGAGAGAGAGGCAGAGAUGUAGACAGAGAGAAAGCAAGCUCCUCACAGGGUUCAUGAUGCAGGAUUUGGUUCCCAGACCGGGAUCACACCCUGAGCGGAAGGCAGAUAGAUGCUCAACCACUGAGCCACCCAGGAGUCCCUAAACAACCUGAUUCUAAAUUCAUAUGGAAAUGCAAAAAAAAAAACAGAGUAGCUAAAGCAAAUGUGAAGAAUAAAGUUGUGUGACUCACAAUAUUGAUUUUUUUAAAAGAUUUUAUUUAUUCAUUCAUGAGAGACAGAGAGAGAGAGAGAGAGGCAGAGACAGAGGCAGAGGGAGAAGCAGGCUCCAUGCAGGGAGCUCAAUGUGGGAAUCGAUCCUGGGAUUGCAGGAUCACGCCCCGAGCUAAAGGCAGACGCUCAACCGCUGAGCCACCCAGGAGCCCACAACUCUUCCUUCUCAUGUAAAGAUAACAAUGAAUAAAAACAUAAUACAAUAUUUAUACAUAAUAAAGAGUAUGUCCCAAAAGAGUAUAUGGUGAAAAAUUACUCCCUUCUUUGUCCCUAUUCAUCUUCUUGCCCUCAAAGGCUGCCAAAGAAAUAACUUUUAUUAGUUUCUUUUGCAAAUUUGUUCUUUAUGCAAACACAAUACUUAUUCUUAUCCAUUCCCCCCUUUCUUAUACAAAAAGUAGAUUAGUACAACAUAAGGUUCUUCAUCUUGUCUUUGUUUUUAUUUAAUAUAUUUUGGAGACUUUUUGUACCAGGCCAUAGUGUUCUCAGUUUCUUCUCCCAUUACAUAAUGUUGCACUAUGUCCAAUUGUUUAUUUAUCGCUAGUUUUUGCUAUUGUGAAGACUGCUAUAUGAAUAAUCUUGGAUACACAUCAUCAUGACUGUAGGAUAAAAUCCUAGAGGUAGGAUUGCUCAGCGAAAUAAAUGCAAUUGGAAUUUUGAAAUAUGUUGCCAAAUUGCCUUCCAAAAAGUCUGUACCAAUCUGCAAUCCCUCUAGCAAUAUAGUUUUUCAAAUUUGGGGAAAUUUCUGCCAUUCUAGUCCAUAAGAAUCAGUAUCUCUAUAUAGUUUUAACGGAAUUUAUUUGAUUAUGGAUGAGGUUGAGCAUAUUUCCACACAUUUGAGAACAUGUAGACUUUGUUCUGUGUAUUAUUUGCUAAUCUCUUUCUUUAUUCUUACCAGGUUAUUAGUCCUUUAAUCAAUUUUUUUGGUGCUCCUUAUAUAUUAGGGAGGUUAGCCAUUUGUUUGUAACGUAAAAUGCAAAUGUUUCCAGUUUGUCACUUCAACUCUUUUUUAUUUAUUUAUUUAUUUAUUUAUUUAUUUAUUUAUUUAUUUAUUUAUUUAUUUAUUUACUUAUGAUAGUCACACACAGAGAGAGAGAGAGGCAGAGACACAGGCAGAGGGAGAAGCAGGCUCCAUGCACCGGGAGCCUGAUGUGGGAUUCGAUCCCGGGUCUCCAGGAUCCCCAACUCUUUUUUUAAUUCAUGUAGAAGGGAUAAUCAAUCUCUUAUGUUUUGAUUUUUUAGAUUUUGAAGUUAGAAAGACCUUUCCCCCCUCCAUGGUUAUAAAGUAAUUCACUCAAGUUUGCAGUCUUUGUAACUUAAAUUUUUUCAGUUUUAAAUUUUGACCUCUUUGGAGUUAAUUCUGGAUUCAGUACAUGGUGUAAUCCACUUUUUUCCCUAGAAAACCUAUCAAGUUGUCCUAUUACCUUUAUUGAAAAGUCCACCUUUUCCCCAACUGAUCUGAUAUGUUCCAUUCACAUGCCCCAUUUUUGUUUUUAUUCUAUUUUUGGAUUCUCUAUUUGGACCCACUGGUCUGUUCAGUCAGAUGACAAUCCCAUAUUAUUUAAAAUUUUGAAGUUUUAGAAUAUGUUUUAAGAUUAGUCCCAUUUACCCCACAUGGCUUUUUUCUUCCAGUUUAUUCUUGCCUUUGUUUUUCCAUUUGAACUUUACUUUUUAAAAAAUAUUUAAGUAAUCUCUACACCCAAUGUUGGGCUUGAACUCAUGACCCUGAGAUUGAGUUCUGAGAUGUUCUUUUGACUGAGCCACCCAGGUACCUCUCCAUUUGAAUUUUAAAAUAACCUCUACCUAUCUAGAGAAAGAUAUUAUCUUCAACAGGAUGUUAAAUUCAUAAAUUAAUUUAAAUAACAUGUUUAGCAUGAAGAAUUUCUUUUUUUUUCUUUUUUUUUUAGAAUGAAGGAUUUCUAUCCAAGAAUAUGGUAAGGCUUUUCAUUUAAGUUUUUGUGUACCCUCACAGGGUUUUAAACUUUUUCUUAAAUAGGUUUUAUUUAUUUCUUGCCUAGAUUAUCCUGAAGAAUUUUAUCCAAGAUUUUGUUUGUAUAUAUAAAAUUUACUUACACAAAUUUUUAG